ensembl:piRNA 21ur-1922 ncRNA
UCCGCCUUUUGCUAAUAUAGC